AGUGAACGCUGGCGGUAGGCCUAACACAUGCAAGUCGAACGGCAGCACAGUAAGAGCUUGCUCUUACGGGUGGCGAGUGGCGGACGGGUUAGGAAUACAUCUGAAUCUACUUUUUCGUGGGGGAUAACGUAGGGAAACUUACGCUAAUACCGCAUACGACCUACGGGUGAAAGCAGGGGAUCUUCGGACCUUGCGCGAUUGAAUGAGCCGAUGUCGGAUUAGCUAGUUGGCGGGGUAAAGGCCCACCAAGGCGACGAUCCGUAGCUGGUCUGAGAGGAUGAUCAGCCACACUGGAACUGAGACACGGUCCAGACUCCUACGGGAGGCAGCAGUGGGGAAUAUUGGACAAUGGGCGCAAGCCUGAUCCAGCCAUACCGCGUGGGUGAAGAAGGCCUUCGGGUUGUAAAGCCCUUUUGUUGGGAAAGAAAAGCAGCAGGUUAAUACCCCGCUGUUCUGACGGUACCCAAAGAAUAAGCACCGGCUAACUUCGUG
rnacentral:rRNA from 1 species